UGGAAACAAUUUAAUUGGUUUAUGAAUUCUGAAAUGCCUUCUACACAUCCGCCCGGUCACUACUAAUUUUGCAUGUGCUCAGGAUUUAGGGUGCCUUAUUCCCCAGUGGAGCACUGGGGUCACCAAGAGCUCCUGUUGUCCUGAAGGGGUAGCAAGGGUUUGAGAGACAGGCUGGAGGAAUGGGCAGGAGAACUGGAGAACUGGCUCUGGAACAGGUGGGCCCCAACCCCACCAAUAGAAGGUGAAGUCAGGCACAGCCUGAAGGGGUGGUCCCCAUGUGGCCCCACUCUGGCCCAAAUGACACUGUUAGAUCCUGUCGCCACCCUGAUCCCGGCCUUUUGGCAGUGCCAGGGUGCUCUUCCCAGUUCCUGUGUGGCAGGAGCAGUGGCGGAGGCAGAGGCAGACUUAUUUCAAAUUACAGUACAGGUACAUGG